UACAGAGGUCUCAAGCGUUGUUCGGAUUCAUUGGGCGUAAAGGGUGCGUAGGCGGCGCGGUAAGUCGGGUGUGAAAUCUCGGAGCUUAACUCCGAAACUGCAUUCGAUACUGCCGUGCUUGAGGACUGGAGAGGAGACUGGAAUUUACGGUGUAGCGGUGAAAUGCGUAGAUAUCGUAAGGAAGACCAGUGGCGAAGGCGGGUCUCUGGACAGUACCUGACGCUGCGGCACGAAGGUCAGGGGAGCAAACGGG
rnacentral:rRNA from 1 species